rnacentral:rRNA from 1 species
ACAAGCGGUGGAGCAUGUGGUUUAAUUCGACGCAACGCGCAGAACCUUACCUAGGCUUGACAUCCCGGGAAUUUGCUGGAAACAGCGAAGUGCUUUCAUUAGAAAGAGCCCGGUGACAGGUGCUGCAUGGCUGUCGUCAGCUCGUGUCGUGAGAUGUUGGGUUAAGUCCCGCAACGAGCGCAACCCUCGCCUUUAGUUGCCAGCAUUCAGUUGGGCACUCUAAAGGGACUGCCGGUGUCAAACCGGAGGAAGUGGGGAUGACGUCAAGUCCUCAUGGCCUUUAUGACCUGGGCUACACACGUGCUACAAUGGUUGGUACAACGAGUUGCGAGUCGGUGACGGCGAGCUAAUCUCUUAAAGCCAAUCUCAGUUCGGAUUGUAGGCUGCAACUCGCCUACAUGAAGUCGGAAUCGCUAGUAAUCGCGGAUCAGCACGCCGCGGUGAAUACGUUCCCGGGCCUU